GUCAGGAUGACCGAGAGGUCCAAGGCACUAUGUCCAAGUCACUCUCGGGUCUUCCCGGUGUGGGUUCGAAUCUCAUUUUUGACA